GCUGGGCGUGCUGGCGCAUGCCUGUAAUCCCAGCUACUCAGGAGGCUGAGGCAGGAGAAUCGCUUGAACUCGGGAGGUGGAGGUUGCGGUGAGCCAAGAUAGCGCCACUGCACUAUAGCCUGGGCAACAGAGCGAGACUCUGUCUCAA
rnacentral:SRP_RNA from 1 species